GCCCUUGCUUGCCGUCUUACCAUGCUCAUUUUCUCUAAACAAAACAGUUUUCCCGUUUUCAGGCCAAAACUGUUCAUCUGUUGAUAAAACCGUUUACUUGUGAGUGAAGUACUCACUUUUUUCCUUAGCCUGCGCUUGAUUUGGUCAUAUUUGAUCAAGAAAUAAAGAACUUACGCCACUUUGAAGAAUCGAAUCGACGGAAUUUGGCUUGCCGUCUUAGCCAUAAAAUGAUGUCAAAGUCACGUGGUAUGGGCACACUGUUGAUAGUGAAGGUCAUUUUUCGUAUGUGAUUAUUCCUAAUGUUGAGCUUUAGGUUCUGUAAUUUCUACUCAGAUCCAAUUUGCUUACAAUACUUGUUAUCUCUGCAAACUUAUUCCAAAGAUUAUUGUCUGUUAACUUGUAUAUUUUUCCUAUUUAAUUUCACACAGUUUACAUUCAUGUAGGCCGCCAUUUUUCAUGCGUCUACUGAUCUUGAUUAAAAACCUCUACCUUACAGUUAAACUUUUAUUUUUGGCAGCAGCAAUUAUGGACUGUCGGCGGAUAAAAUGAAAAUAAAAGUACUGAAAAUGACUUUUAUUUUUAUUUUGUUUUGUCAAAAAAUAGGGUCGGCGCUCCCGUAAACCAGAAAAUUAAAAAAUGUUGGCCUUACUUCAUAAUAGAACGGACGGGCAUAGCAUUUUAUUGUAUUUUAAAAAUAAAAUGUAUUUACUAGAGUUACAAAAUCAUGAAAAUGGACUAAAACGAGUAAAUGAUUUUUUGCACUUUUGAAAAUAUUCCUUAUUGUUAUUAAAAUUGGACUAAUUAUUUUUAACAAUAACACUCAUUCAUUUAAAAAUAUUUAGGAAAGAGAUACUGGAAUUCAUUGGGAACAUUUAUAAUACAUGUUUGUAACCAUGGUAACUAAGGGCCGGUCUCUCUGUACACAUGUUAUCUAUUAGUUACGCCAAUGGUUUACACACUAUUCAGUUCAUUUGAUAGAGGUUAAAGCUGCAAUACAGAACAAGUUUAUUCAUUAGGAACAGAAGGAUGAUGCAGAAAAAGUGAUGCUCGGUCCAGUGGUUUUGCCGUGAUGAAGAUUUUGAGAAAUAAGCUAUUUAAGAGUGCUUAUACAAAGAAUCUGCGAUGAAGUGAUUUGGAAAUGCAAUAGGUCAAGAGAAGAAAAACAAAACAGUCCAUAGUGAUCCGGAAACAAAUACAGCUACAAUGAUUCGGACAGUUGACAGUAUCAAUAAAACAAUAAGACCCAUACAAUUCCAGAACGCCUCUAAACGCCCAUAUUAUAUAAUAUACGACAUGGGACCCAGAAAGGUCCCACAUGGGUUAUAAGAUCUGGGACCCAUAAGGGACCCACAUUGGUCCCAUAUAGUAUAUCCCAUAUGGGACCCAUGCCAAAAUGGUUUGCAAAACCCAUCUGGGUCCCAUGUGGGUAGCCCAUAUAGGUCCCACAUGGGAAACCAUAUGGGUCCCACAUGGGUCCCAUGUAUGUUUGAGUGCUGGGCACUGACAUUCUCCUUACUGUAAAAGUUUACUUCUGUCGUUUCUAACAUUCUUCUCCUGCUUAC